rnacentral:rRNA from 1 species
CGGGUGCGGAACACGUACGCAACCUUCCUUUAACUGGAGAAUAGCCCCUCGAAAGAGGGAUUAAUACUCCGUAACAUAUAAAUGUGGCAUCACAAUUAUAUUAUAGCUCCGGCGGUUAAAGAUGGGCGUGCGCCUGAUUAGAUAGUUGGCGGGGUAACGGCCCACCAAGUCUGCGAUCAGUAACUGGUGUGAGAGCACGACCAGUCACACGGGCACUGAGACACGGGCCCG